AUGGUCAGUGCCAUGGUCAGUGCCAUGGUCAGUGCCAUGGUCAGUGCCAGGUCAGUGCCAGGUCAGUGCCAUAGUCAGUGCCAUGGUCAGUGCCAAGGUCAGUACCAGGUCAGUGUCAUGGCCCGUGCCAUGGUCAGUGUCAUGGUCAGUGCCAGGUCAGUGCCAGGUCAGUGCCAUGGUCAGUGUCAUGGUCAGUGCCAGGUCAGUGUCAUGGUCAGUGCCAUGGUCAGUACCAGGUCAGUGCCAGGUCAGUGCCAGGUCAGUGCCAGGUCAGUGCCAUGGUCAGUGCCAUGGUCAGUACCAGGUCAGUGUCAUGGUCAGUGCCAUGGUCAGUGUCAUGGUCAGUGCCAUGGUCAGUGCCCAGGUCAGAGCCCAGGUCAGUACCAAGUCAGAGCCCAGGUCAGUGCCAGGUCUCAGUGCCAGGUCAGUGCCCAGGUCAGUACCAUGGUCAGUGCCCAGGUCAGUGCCAUGGUCAGUGCCAUGGUCAGUGCCAGGUCAGUGUCAUGGUCAGUGCCAUGGUCAGUGCCCAGGUCAGUACCAGGUCAGUACCAGGUCAGUGCCAUGGUCAGUGCCAUGGUCAGUGCCCACUCUCUGAUCACAACAAGAGCUGCAGUCAGGACAAUUUUUCAGCUCAAGCCUGCUCAGUCCCUGGGGACAAUAUCCCCUGUCACCCACUGUCCUGCCCCCAGGGUGGACAGGGACCCUCCCUGCCCAGGGCUGGCCCUCAGUAGCCAGAGGCCUCCUAAAGGCAGCUUUGCCAAGCUCCUGCAGCCCAGCUGGGCACAGGAAUGCACGCCAGGGCCAUCAGCCAACGGCUCAUGUUUACUUAUUUGCACUCUUGUAAAUAAAAAUCAGCCAGACGAGCCCUGGGGGCCAGCCAGACAUGGAGUGUCUGUUCUGCAGUGCCAGAGCUGGGGCUGGCACCAGCAAAAAUCCACUGGGCAAUUUGCAGCAGCCCUGCACUGGCAGUGUGUUGGACUGCUGAUUAAAAAGGAGGAAUCCCAUGCCAGGGCUCUGAGGACAGAGCCAAGAUGCCUGUUUAACACUCCUCAGCCAAUAAAAGACGUCUUUGUGAGUGAGAGAUCUGAUCCAUUACAGAGGCUUGGACAGAACAAGCAAUAA
rnacentral:lncRNA from 1 species